rnacentral:rRNA from 1 species
AUACGUAGGGUGCACGCGUUAUCCGGAAUUAUUGGGCGUAAAGGGCUCGUAGGCGGUUCGUCGCGUCCGGUGUGAAAGUCCAUCGCUUAACGGUGGAUCCGCGCCGGGUACGGGCGGGCUUGAGUGCGGUAGGGGAGACUGGAAUUCCCGGUGUAACGGUGGAAUGUGUAGAUAUCGGGAAGAACACCAAUGGCGAAGGCAGGUCUCUGGGCCGUUACUGACGCUGAGGAGCGAAAGCGUGGGGAGCGAACAGGAUUAGAUACCCUGGUAGUCCACGCCGUAAACGGUGGAUGCUGGAUGUGGGGCCCGUUCCACGGGUUCCGUGUCGGAGCUAACGCGUUAAGCAUCCCGCCUGGGGAGUACGGCCGCAAGGCUAAAACUCAAAGAAAUUGACGGGGGCCCGCACAAGCGGCGGAGCAUGCGGAUUAAUUCGAUGCAACGCGAAGAACCUUACCUGGGCUUGACAUGUUCCCGACGGUCGUAGAGAUACGGCUUCCCUUCGGGGCGGGUUCACAGGUGGUGCAUGGUCGUCGUCAGCUCGUGUCGUGAGAUGUUGGGUUAAGUCCCGCAACGAGCGCAACCCUCGCCCCGUGUUGCCAGCGGAUUAUGCCGGGAACUCACGGGGGACCGCCGGGGUUAACUCGGAGGAAGGUGGGGAUGACGUCAGAUCAUCAUGCCCCUUACGUCCAGGGCUUCACGCAUGCUACAAUGGCCGGUACAACGGGAUGCGACGCGGCGACGCGGAGCGGAUCCCUGAAAACCGGUCUCAGUUCGGAUCGCAGUCUGCAACUCGACUGCGUGAAGGCGGAGUCGCUAGUAAUCGCGAAUCAGCAACGUCGCGGUGAAUGCGUUCCCGGGCCUUGUACACACCGCCCGUCAAGUCAUGAAAGUGGGCAGCACCCGAAGCCGGUGGCCUAACCCCUUGUGGGAUGGAGCCGUCUAAGGUGAGGCUCGUGAUUGGGACU